UACGUAGGUGGCAAGCGUUGUCCGGAUUUACUGGGCGUAAAGAGCGCGCAGGCGGUCGUUCAAGUCGCGUGUGAAAGCCCCCGGCUCAACUGGGGAGGGUCACGCGAUACUGAUCGACUCGAAGGCAGGAGAGGGAAGUGGAAUUCCCGGUGUAGUGGUGGAAAUGCGUAGAUAUCGGGAGGAACACCAGUGGCGAAGGCGCCACUCUGGGCCGAUACUGACGCUGAGGAGCGAAAGCGUGGGGAGCGAACAGG
rnacentral:rRNA from 1 species